UUUAAGCUCCGAAGGAGCCGUUGUUCUUUUUUUUAUCUCGUUAUAAAAUGAGACUGAAAGAGAUAUGGCAGACAGCGGGAUUAGCU
rnacentral:sRNA from 1 species